UGUAGCCCUAUGUUGUAAGGUAGGUCCAUGUUGUAAGGUAGGUCUGUGUUGUAAGGUAGGUCCAGGUUGUC